ensembl:snRNA U6 U6 spliceosomal RNA
AUGCUCACUUCAGCAGCACAUAUACUAAAAUUGGAACAAUACAGAGAAGAUUAGCAUAGCCCCUGCACAAGGAUGACAUGCAAACUCGUGAAGCAUUCCAUAUUUUU